AUACGUAGGUGGCAAGCGUUGUCCGGAAUUAUUGGGCGUAAAGCGCAUGUAGGCGGUUUGGUAAGUCGGUCGUGAAAAUGCGGUGCUUAACGCCGUAUGGCGAUUGAAACUGCUGAACUUGAGUGCAGGAGAGGAAAGGGGAACUCCCAGGGUAGCGGUGAAAUGCGUAGAUAUUGGGAAGAACACCGGUGGCGAAGGCGCCUUUCUGGACUGUGUCUGACGCUCAGAUGCGAAAGCCAGGGUAGCGAACGGGAUUAGAUACCCCGGUAGUCCUGGCCGUAAACGAUGGGUACUAGGUGUGGGAGGUAUCGACUCCUUCCGUGCCGGAGUUAACGCAAUAAGUACCCCGCCUGGGGAGUACGGCCGCAAGGCUUAAACUCAAAUGAAUUGACGGGG
rnacentral:rRNA from 1 species